rnacentral:piRNA from 1 species
UAAGUAAUUUGAUAAAGAGGAUAAAGACU